GACAGACUUAUGGGUGUCCACUGUACCCAUGGUUUAAACAGGACUGGCUACCUCAUCUGCAGAUAUUUGAUUGAUGUAGAAGGCAUGUGGCCAGAUGAUGCAAUUGAAUACUGGUGUUUUAUCUUUACAAGUUCUGCGUCGUUCCAUAAGAAAGCUG